CGCGUAGGCGGCCGAUCAAGUCGGAGGUGAAAUCCCUCGGCUCAACUGAGGAAUUGCCUUCGAUACUGUUCGGCUUGAGUCCUGGAGAGGGUAGCGGAAUUCCCGGUGUAGCGGUGAAAUGCGUAGAGACCGGGAAGAACACCAGUGGCGAAGGCGGCUACCUGGACAGGUACUGACGCUGAAGCGCGAAAGCUAGGGGGAGAAAC
rnacentral:rRNA from 1 species